UAUUUUUUUACUUUUCUAAACCGCAGAAAUAACGGUAAGGCUAAACAAACCUUAUUAGCAUCCGAAAUGGAUGUUUCUUCAUCGUUGUCAAUGCGAAGGCGAAGAUGCAAAUGACGAGUCAUCAUCCACAUCGCGGGUUGUUGUCUUUGCUUCCGGUGCUGCUGCCCCUUCUUCUUCUGAUUGGAUGAUCAGAUAUUUCUGGUGGAAAAAGAUUUCGGGCUUCUUCCAAACCAGAGAAAUUGGUGGAGUUUCGCAAAUUUACCCUGAACAUCUGCUGUUGGCUGGGAAAGCUAUAGGCUCUAGAUAAUCUGUGCUCAACGUCUGCUUAAAAAUAAAAUGGACUUAUGAUAUUCAUGGAACACAUGAUACAACAUCAAGUCAUACGUAGGACUCAACAAACUGGGGAAGCCAUGAUGCUGGAUUCUCGGUGAUGCUCCUGGUUGCCAUGGCUCUUGCUGUGCUCAUCAUGGGUUUGCUUUUUGACAAGGCUGGCAUUGUGAUGUUCUUGGAGACCGGUUUCCUCAGUGGGUUUCUGGAUUUGCAACGAUGCCAUGAUGGUUGAAGCAAAAGGGUAUUUCUAGUGUGAGCCUUGUUAGUUUCCUGUUAUUAGAAAUCAAUAUGGAAACAUAGACUUAUAGAAGUGAGUGAGUGGGAUUCCUUCAAUUAUAUAUCACCCUUUGAAUCUGCUUUUGGAGAAUGGGCAAAUAGCAUCUUUACUAGAGAAGAUUAUAAUGCUUUGUUAUCCGAAUUAUUAAGCGAAGAAUAAAUGCAACAUUUUUUUCCUCUACCAA